rnacentral:rRNA from 1 species
GACGAACGCUGGCGGCGUGCUUAACACAUGCAAGUCGAACGGGCCUGUCUUCUUUUUUGGGGGUGGGUUGAGCGGCGAACGGGUGAGUAUCACGUGAGUAACCUGCCCUUCGGUCCUGGAUAACCGCUUGAAAGGGCGGCUAAUACGGGGUGGUCCGGUUGGUCCGCAUGGGCUGGUCGGGAUAGAUUCACUGUUUUUGGUGUUUCGGCGGGGGAUGGGCUCGCGGCCUAGCAGCUUGUUGGUGGGGUGAUGGCCUACCAAGGCGGUGACGGGUAGCCGGCCUGAGAGGGUGGGCGGCCAGACUGGGACUGAGAUACGGCCCAGACUCCUGCGGGAGGCAGCAGUGGGGGGUAUUGCACAAUGGGCGGAAGCCUGAUGCAGCGACGUCGCGUGAGGGAUGGAGGCCUUCGGGUUGUGAACCUCUGUUUCCGGUGGUGAAGGCCCUGUCCGUGUGGUGGGGUUGACGGUAGCCGGGGAUGAAGCGCCGGCUAACUACGUG